GGCCAGCAGCCGCGGUAAUACGUAGGUGGCAAGCGUUGUCCGGAUUUAUUGGGUUUAAAGGGUGCGUAGGCGGUCCUAUAAGUCAGUGCUGAAAUAUCCCGGCUUAACCGGGAGGGUGGCAUUGAUACUGUAGGACUUGAGUAAAGUUGAGGUUGGCGGAAUUGACGGUGUAGCGGUGAAAUGCUUAGAUAUCGUCAAGAACACCUAUUGCGAAGGCAGCUAACUAAGCUUUAACUGACGCUGAGGCACGAAAGUGUGGGGAUCAAACAGGAUUAGAUACCCUGGUAGUCCACACUGUAAACGUUGAUUACUCGCUGUUGGCGAUACACAGCCAGCGGCCAAGCGCAAGCGAUAAGUAAUCCACCUGGGGAGUACGCCGGCAACGGUGAAACUCAAAGGAAUUGACGGGGGCCCGCACAAGC
rnacentral:rRNA from 1 species